GCCGGCAUGGCGCAAUUGGCAGCGCACCCGACUUGUAAUCGGGCGGUUUCGGGUUCGAGUCCCGAUGCCGGCUCCG
rnacentral:tRNA from 1 species